GGAACCACAUAAGGAAAUGAGGUUCAGAGACAUUUAUCGAGUUGUCUAAAGUCACGCAGCCAGAGCAGUGGCUGCUCUGGAAGAAGUCAAGCUGGCCUGGGGUGGAAAAGGUCUGCACGGAGAAGCCAGACUUCUUUUGUUGCAGCAAGUAAGGCUGGAAGACAGGGCUAGACACAGACAACGGAACGGUGUUGUUACUGAUCCUUCUUUG